rnacentral:rRNA from 1 species
AAGGAAUAUUGGUCAAUGGAGGAAACUCUGAACCAGCCAUCCCGCGUGAAGGAUGAAGGGGCUCUGCCUUGUAAACUUCUUUUGUCUGGGGCGAAAAAGCUCGAUUUAUCGAGAACUGACGGUACCAGAAGAAUAAGCACCGGCUAACUCCGUGCCAGCAGCUGCGGUAAUACGGAGGGUGCAAGCGUUAUCCGGAAUCACUGGGUUUAAAGGGUGCGUAGGCGGCUUAGUAAGUCAGUGGUGAAAGGCUGUGGCUUAACCAUGGAAUUGCCAUUGAUACUGCAGAGCUUGAAUGAGGUUGAGGUUGGCGGAAUGUGACAUGUAGCGGUGAAAUGCUUAGAUAUGUCAUGGAACACCGAUUGCGAAGGCAGCUGACUGGACCUAUAUUGACGCUGAGGCACGAAAGCGUGGGGAGCGAAC